CUUCCACAGCUGCUCCUUUUCUCCUUCUGUGACAAUGAGACAGUGCCAACGACCACAUCUCCUCUCCUCUGAGUCUCUAUUUGAUUUUGAUUCCUUCCACAUGCGCUCCUCCUUCUGUGACGAAGUCGACGAGACAGCAUCGGCGGCGUCAUAUCCUUUCCUCGAUUCCUCUCUCAUAUCAGUUUAAGCUAAGCAUCCUCUUUGAUAAUGGCUGAAAAGUGCAUCGUUUAUGUCCCUAAAAUAUACCCUUAGAGCUUAUUUAUUUACUAAUUUAUUCAUUUUGGUCUACUAUAUUUUUAAUUUUUCAAAUAAAGUUUAAUAUUAUUUUGCAUUGAUUUUGGCCAAUUUUAUGUAGGCAAAUAAUAUUGGAAUUAUGUGGGCAGCUUACUGGAGUGCAAAAGAGAUGAAGUAAAAGAGAAAACUAAGCUAAUUGGUUGGAGACUUAUCACGUGCUAAGUAAGAGAUCAAUGACUUAUCAAAAGAGGAAGCUGACGUGCAUAGGAGAAUAGGAAGGGAAAUUCACCGUGGAGAAGUUAAAUUCAAGGAGGAAAAUAAAUCCUAAGUGGUUAGGGUUUGACUGAUAUAAAAGGGUGCUACUCGCUCUGUCUCAAGGAUUCUGCUUUUUGGCCCAAAACACUUUAUUUUUCUAGAGUUAUUUUUCUUUGUUAUGGAGAACUAACUCCCUAGCUAAGGCUAGGGGGAAGGCCUUCGAGAUAGUAUGUGGUUUCGUUAGUUUGAUUCGAAUGGAGAUUCAAUGUUAAAUUCUUAUUUAUGGAUUUGUUCAAUUUAAUUUUAGUUUU